UUUUCUCCGAGGAAAAGGUGUGGAUGAUUUCUGAUCAUCACCCAUCAUCGUCUUUUUUCAUUUUUAGCAGUGGCCACUGCUGGCCAAACGGUUUUCCUUUUUCCAAACGACCACAUAACUCAUUAGGAGAGGAGCGGGGAAUUCGAGA
ensembl:ncRNA C06E1.15 ncRNA